GGCGAACGCUGGCGGCGUGCUUAACACAUGCAAGUCGAACGGAAAGGCCCUGCUUUUGUUGGGUGCUCGAGUGGCGAACGGGUGAGUAACACGUGUGUAACCUGCCCUUGUCUUUGGGAUAACUUCACGAAACUGCGGCUAAUACCGGAUAGGAGCUCCUGCUGCAUGGUGGGGGUUGGAAAGUUUCGGCGGUUGGGGAUGGACUAGCGGCUUAUCAGCUUGUUGGUGGGGUAGUGGCUUACCAAGGCUUUGAAGGGUAGCCGGCCUGAGAGGGGGACCGGCCACAUUGGGACUGAGAUACGGCCCAGACGCCUACGGGAGGCAGCAGUGGGGAAUAUUGCACAAUGGGCGGAAGCCUGAUGCAGCAACGCCGCGUGCGGGAUGACGGCCUUCGGGUUGUAAACCGCUUUCGCCUGUGACGAAGCGUGAGUGACGGUAAUGGGUAAAGAAGCACCGGCUAACUACGUG
rnacentral:rRNA from 1 species